UCUCGARCCCACGAACCCUUGACCUCAAAUCGGGUGAGACUACCCGCUGAACUUAAGCAUAUCAAUAA
rnacentral:rRNA from 1 species